rnacentral:rRNA from 1 species
UACAGAGGGUGCGAACGUUGUUCGGAAUUAUUGGGCGUAAAGGGUGCGUAGGCGGUGCCACAAGUCACCUGUGAAAUCCCCGGGCUUAACUCGGGGCCUGCAGGCGAAACUGUGGUGCUGGAGUACGGUAGGGGCAGAGGGAAUUUCCGGUGGAGCGGUGAAAUGCGUAGAGAUCGGAAAGAACACCAACGGCGAAAGCACUCUGCUGGGCCGACACUGACACUGAGAGACGAAAGCUAGGGGAGCGAAUGGG